rnacentral:lncRNA from 1 species
AGCUUGAAUGGAUUGCUUCAUGAUCCUCACACACACACCAUUGCCGCUUCUCUUCUGAUCUUGCCAUCUUCAUGGAAUGCUUGUGGAAGCUUCAGCUAUCUCUCCAAUCACUUCACACUAGAAGCCGCCUUGAUAGAGUUGCCUUCAUCUUCUCACAGCCAAGAGUACUCUGUCUUAGUUUGAGUACUCUCUUGAAUAGACUCGCCACAGCCUAAGCCCGGAUGGCUCCUUCUUCAGAUGGUUGCAAUGGACUUCUUGGAUCGCUUGGAAGCUCACUAAACUCCCCUCCUCAAGCUUGGAUUGAGUAUAGGUCCAAGCUUG